UACAGAGGUCCCAAGCGUUGUUCGGAUUCACUGGGCGUAAAGGGUGCGUAGGCGGUCGGGUAAGUCUGAUGUGAAAUCUCCAAGCUCAACUUGGAAAUGGCAUCGGAUACUAUUCGGCUCGAGGAAUGGAGGGGAGACUGGAAUACUUGGUGUAGCAGUGAAAUGCGUAGAUAUCAAGAGGAACACCUGAGGUGAAGACGGGUUGCUGGGCUGACACUGACGCUGAGGCGCGAAAGCCAGGGGAGCAAACGGG
rnacentral:rRNA from 1 species